rnacentral:rRNA from 1 species
UACGUAGGGUGCAAGCGUUGUCCGGAAUCAUUGGGCGUAAAGAGCGUGUAGGCGGCUCGGUAAGUCCGCUGUGAAAGUCCAGGGCUCAACCCUGGAAUGCCGGUGGAAACUGUCGAGCUAGAGUCCGGAAGAGGCGAGUGGAAUUCCUGGUGUAGCGGUGAAAUGCGCAGAUAUCAGGAGGAACACCAAUGGCGAAGGCAGGCUCGCUGGACGGUACUGACGCUGAGACGCGAAAGCGUGGGGAGCAACAGG